UCUUAGGAAAGCAUCUCAAGAAUGAAAAAAAAAGUAUCCAAUGUAGUCAAUACUGUUAUGAAACCAAUAUAUAAAUGCUUACAUACUCAUACAGAGGAUAAAACACAAAUAUAAUCUAUCAAGGGAGAGAGGAGAGGAGGGAGAGGGGAGGAGGGAGGAGGGUGAUUGGUGGGAGGAGGGAGAGCAUUUGGUGGCAUCUCACCUAAGAUGCCCAAUACAAGGGUGCAUUUCAAAAUAAGAGUAAAUUGAGCGUUCAGUAGCCACGUGUGGCUGGUGGCUGCCAUGUGGGGCAGUGUGGGUCACAGGAUGUUUUCACCACGGCAGGAAGUUCUGGAUGGUACUGCUCAACGCACUGUCUCAUAAAGGAUGCUCGUCAGAAGUUCCGCUCUGUUCUGGUGGAAGCAACGGUGAAGCUGGAUGAACUGGUGAAAAAAAUUGGCAAAGCUGUGGAAGACUCGAAGCCCUACUGGGAGGCUCGGAGGGUGGAGAGGCAGGCUCAACUGGAAGCUCAGAAAGCCACUCAGGACUUCCACAGGGCCACAGAGGUGCUCCGUGCUGCCAAGGAAACCAUUUCCCUGGCCGAGCAGCGGCUCCUGGAGGAUGACAAGCGGCAUUUUGACUCCGCCUGGCAGGAAAUGCUGAAUCACGCCACUCAGAGGGUCAUGGAGGUGGAGCAGACCAAGACAAGGAGUGAGGUGGUGCACAAGGAGACAGCGGCCAGGUACAAUGCCGCCAUGGGCCGCAUGCGACAGCUGGAGAAGAAACUCAAGAGAGCCAUCAACAAGUCCAAGCCUUAUUUUGAACUCAAGUGCAGCUUAAGCAACUGAAGAAGACCGUGGACGACCUGCAGGCCAAACUGACUCUGGCAAAAGGGGAGUACAAGACUGCCCUGAAGAACCUGGAGAUGAUUUCGGACCAGAUCCUCGAGCGGCGGCGCUCCAGUGCCAUGGGGCCUUGGGCAGCAGCACGUCUGUGGAGGACCUGUCAGGGAGCAAGCCGGAGCCGGAUACCAUUUCUGUGACUUCCGAGGCCUUUGAAGAUGACAACUGUAGCAACUUUGUGUCUGAAGAUGACUCAGAAACCCAGUCGGUGUCCAGCUUCAGUUCAAGACCAACGAGCCCGUCUGAGAUGCCUGACCAGUUUCCUGUUGUGGUGCGGCCUGGCAGCCUGGAUCUGCCCAGCCCUGUGUCCCUCUCAGAGUUUGGGAUGAUAUUCCCAGUGUUGGGCUCUGGAAGUGAAUGCAGUGGGGCCUCCUCCCCUGAAUGUGAGGUAGAACGAGGAGAUAGGGCAGAAGAGGCAGAGAAUAAAACAAGUGACAAAACCAACAACAACCGGGGUCUCAGCAAUGGCACUGGCAGUGGUGGCAGCAAUAAGAGCCAAAGCAGCACUUCCCGGGAGGGCCAGGCCUUGGAGAACAGGAUGACGCAGCUCUCUCUCCAGUGUGCAAAGGGAAGAGACAGGAUUAUCGCUGACAUCAAGAUGGUGCAGAUUGGCUGAUCCACCCAGGGCCCUGGCCGCGUACAUGUCAAUAUUUAUACAUGAAACUGGAGGACAUUGUGCCAAUAAUCAUUUACUAUAUGCCAAAUCUUAAGCAUUUACCCUAAACUGCACUAAAGAGAUUUCAUUGACCUUGAGGGCUGAAGAUUUUUCUUCUGGAUAAGAGUUCUGAGGCUGGUUUGUUUUUCAGAUCAGAGGAGUUGUUGUAGGUGGACUGUGACCAAGUCCACAGCCUUUGUGGACCAUUCUGUGUAACAGCGUUGUGGAAGCAAUAACUAUAACAGUUCCUAUGAAAGAACCAGAGCCAGUAAGAGGGCUGAGGAGCUAAGCCAAAGUGGGGGCAACAGCUUGCUUCUCUUUCCCUUUUCUCACCCUCAAUUUGGAGAACAUGGAGCUGUUCUCUCCAGGGUUUCCUAAUGAAAUAAAAAGUGGCCACACACACACAAAAUAAAAGUUCAAACAUUCAGAGCACACCUUUUUGAAGGCUUACCAAAAAAAAAAAAAAAAAAAAAUCCAAGAACACAC